GCGACGCAAGGAGUCCGCAGUGCCGCUGGAAGAGGAGGGCGCGUGCUUCGAAAGAGCGCAAGAAAUAAAGAUGGAAGAGGAAACUAAGAAUGAGUCAAAAAAGAAAUAAACAGGGAAGGAAGGAGACGGAGAUAGAGAAGAAGCAGGAAAAAUGGAGGUGCCUUGUCAAGAAAAAGAGAGAGUAAGGCUUUCAGUGUGGUUUUCCUGUGUUGCGUAAAUCGACCACUCAGUUCUCCAGUGAUGCCAUGUGGAUCUUGCCAAGCUAGAAUAUGAAAGCCAUUCUUUUUGGAAAUCUGACUUAACAAUGGAGUUCUUCUCAACUGCGGUUGAACAUUACCAGUUGGCUGUUUCUGCUGUGUUUUACAGAGGUUCUCUGAU